rnacentral:rRNA from 1 species
UCUGGGUGAUCAGUGGCGAACGGGUGAGUAACACGUGACUAACCUGCCCCCGACUCUGGGAUAACCCCGGGAAAUCGGAGCUAAUACCGGAUACGAGACGCACAGGCAUCUGUGGCGUUUGGAAAGAAUUUCGGUCGGGGAUGGAGUCGCGGCCUAUCAGCUAGUUGGUGAGGUAAUGGCUCACCAAGGCGACGACGGGUAGCCGGCCUGAGAGGGCGACCGGCCACACUGGGACUGAGACACGGCCCAGACUCCUACGGGAGGCAGCAGUGGGGAAUAUUGCACAAUGGGCGAAAGCCUGAUGCAGCGACGCCGCGUGGGGGAUGAAGGCCUUCGGGUUGUAAACCCCUUUCAGCAGGGAAGAAGCGAAAGUGACGGUACCUGCAGAAGAAGCGCCGGCUAACUACGUGCCAGCAGCCGCGGUAAUACGUAGGGCGCAAGCGUUGUCCGGAUUUAUUGGGCGUAAAGAGCUCGUAGGUGGUUUGUCGCGUCUGCUGUGAAAACCCGAGGCUCAACCUCGGGCCUGCAGUGGGUACGGGCAGACUAGAGUGCGGUAGGGGAGACCGGAAUUCCUGGUGUAGCGGUGGAAUGCGCAGAUAUCAGGAGGAACACCGAUGGCGAAGGCAGGUCUCUGGGCCGCAACUGACACUGAGGAGCGAAAGCAUGGGGAGCGAACA